CAGGCUUAACACAUGCAAGUCGAGGGGCAGCAUUUUAGUUUGCUUGCAAACUGACGAUGGCGACCGGCGCACGGGUGAGUAACACGUAUCCAACCUGCCGAUAACUCCGGAAUAGCCUUUCGAAAGAAAGAUUAAUACCGGAUAGUAUACGAAUAUCGCAUGAUAUUUUUAUUAAAGAAUUUCGGUUAUCGAUGGGGAUGCGUUCCAUUAGUUUGUUGGCGGGGUAACGGCCCACCAAGACUACGAUGGAUAGGGGUUCUGAGAGGAAGGUCCCCCACAUUGGAACUGAGACACGGUCCAAACUCCUACGGGAGGCAGCAGUGAGGAAUAUUGGUCAAUGGGCGAGAGCCUGAACCAGCCAAGUAGCGUGAAGGAUGAAGGCUCUAUGGGUCGUAAACUUCUUUUAUAUGGGAAUAAAGUUUUCCACGUGUGGAAUUUUGUAUGUACCAUGUGAAUAAGGAUCGGCUAACUCCGUGCCAGCAGCCGCGGUAAUACGGAGGAUCCGAGCGUUAUCCGGAUUUAUUGGGUUUAAAGGGAGCGUAGGCGGAUUGUUAAGUCAGUUGUGAAAGUUUGCGGCUCAACCGUAAAAUUGCAGUUGAUACUGGCAGUCUUGAGUGCAGUAGAGGUGGGCGGAAUUCGUGGUGUAGCGGUGAAAUGCUUAGAUAUCACGAAGAACUCCGAUUGCGAAGGCAGCUCACUGGAGUGUAACUGACGCUGAUGCUCGAAAGUGUGGGUAUCAAACAGGAUUAGAUACCCUGGUAGUCCACACAGUAAACGAUGAAUACUCGCUGUUUGCGAUAUACAGUAAGCGGCCAAGCGAAAGCAUUAAGUAUUCCACCUGGGGAGUACGCCGGCAACGGUGAAACUCAAAGGAAUUGACGGGGGCCCGCACAAGCGGAGGAACAUGUGGUUUAAUUCGAUGAUACGCGAGGAACCUUACCCGGGCUUAAAUUGCAAAUGAAUUAUGGGGAAACCCAUACGCCGCAAGGCAUUUGUGAAGGUGCUGCAUGGUUGUCGUCAGCUCGUGCCGUGAGGUGUCGGCUUAAGUGCCAUAACGAGCGCAGCCCUUAUCUUCAGUUACUAACAGGUCAUGCUGAGGACUCUGGAGAGACUGCCGUCGUAAGAUGUGAGGAAGGUGGGGAUGACGUCAAAUCAGCACGGCCCUUACGUCCGGGGCUACACACGUGUUACAAUGGGGGGUACAGAAGGCCGCUACCUGGUGACAGGAUGCCAAUCCCAAAAACCUCUCUCAGUUCGGAUCGAAGUCUGCAACCCGACUUCGUGAAGCUGGAUUCGCUAGUAAUCGCGCAUCAGCCAUGGCGCGGUGAAUACGUUCCCGGGCCUUGUACACACCGCCCGUCAAGCCAUGAAAGCCGGGGGUACCUGAAGUACGUAACCGCAAGGAGCGUCCUAGGGUAAAACUGGUAAUUGGGGCUAAG
rnacentral:rRNA from 1 species